UGAACGCUGGCGGCGUGCCUAAUACAUGCAAGUCGAGCGAACAGACGAGGAGCUUGCUCCUCUGACGUUAGCGGCGGACGGGUGAGUAACACGUGGAUAACCUACCUAUAAGACUGGGAUAACUUCGGGAAACCGGAGCUAAUACCGGAUAAUAUAUUGAACCGCAUGGUUCAAUAGUUAAAGACGGUUUUGCUGUCACUUAUAGAUUGAUCCGCGCCGCAUUAGCUAGUUGGUAAGGUAACGGCUUACCAAGGCGACGAUGCGUAGCCGACCUGAGAGGGUGAUCGGCCACACUGGAACUGAGACACGGUCCAGACUCCUACGGGAGGCAGCAGUAGGGAAUCUUCCGCAAUGGGCGAAAGCCUGACGGAGCAACGCCGCGUGAGUGAUGAAGGUCUUCGGAUCGUAAAACUCUGUUAUUAGGGAAGAACAAAUGUGUAAGUAACUAUGCACGUCUUGACGGUACCUAAUCAGAAAGCCACGGCUAACUACGUG
rnacentral:rRNA from 1 species